rnacentral:rRNA from 1 species
GACGGAGGGCGCGAACGUUGUUCGGAAUCACUGGGCGUAAAGGGCGCGUAGGCGGGAACGUAAGUCAGACGUGAAAUCCCGGGGCUCAACUCCGGGCCUGCGUUUGAAACUGCGUUCCUUGAGUUCGGGAGAGGAAGGCGGAAUUCCAGGUGUAGCGGUGGAAUGCGUAGAUAUCUGGAAGAACACCAGUGGCGAAGGCGGCCUUCUGGACCGACACUGACGCUGAGGCGCGAAAGCGUGGGGAGCAAACAGGAUUAGAAACCCCAGUAGU